rnacentral:rRNA from 1 species
AUUGAACGCUGGCGGAAUGCUUUACACAUGCAAGUCGAACGGCAGCACGGACUUCGGUCUGGUGGCGAGUGGCGAACGGGUGAGUAAUGUAUCGGAACGUGCCCAGUCGUGGGGGAUAACGUAGUGAAAAUUACGCUAAUACCGCAUACGAUCUAUGGAUGAAAGCGGGGGAUCGCAAGACCUCGCGCGAUUGGAGCGGCCGAGAUUAGAGUAGGUAGUUGGUGGGGUAAAGGCCCACCAAGCCAACGAUCUGUAGCUGGUCUGAGAGGACGACCAGCCACACUGGAACUGAGACACGGUCCAGACUCCUACGGGAGGCAGCAGUGGGGAAUUUUGGACAAUGGGCGAAAGCCUGAUCCAGCCAUUCCGCGUGCAGGAUGAAGGCCCUCGGGUUGUAAACUGCUUUUGUACAGAACGAAAAGGUUUCUACUAAUACUAGGAGCUCAUGACGGUACUGUAAGAAUAAGCACCGGCUAACUACGUGCCAGCAGCCGCCGCCG